GUGCCAGCAGCCGCGGUAAUACGUAGGUGGCAAGCGUUGUCCGGAAUUACUGGGCGUAAAGAGCGCGUAGGCGGGAAGUAAAGUCAGGAGUGUAAACUGACGGCUCAACCGGGAGAUUGCCUCUGAAACUGGCAUUCUUGAGGGCAUGAGAGGUAAGCGGAAUUCCGAGUGUAGCGGUGAAAUGCGUAGAUAUUCGGAGGAACACCAGUGGCGAAGGCGGCUCCCUGGCAUACAACUGACGCUGAGGCGCGAAAGCGUGGGGAGCAAACGGGAUUAGAUACCCCGGUAGUCCACGCCGUAA
rnacentral:rRNA from 1 species